rnacentral:lncRNA from 10 species
UCUUGAUGGAUCAAAAUCUGAGAGGGAACUGCCAGCUGGGGAGCGGAUACCUGAGUUCUGAGUGUAGAACACCAAGAGAUAGAGAAGCCUUGAGCUCACACAAGCAGAGUUCUGUGCAGGGAGAUGUCUCAGAAAAAGUGUUUCUUUAGAGAUGUUUAUCAUCAGAGAUGGGUUAUGGAAGUGAUCCUAUAGAACCUGAGAGAUUGCUUAACUCAAACUCUGCUUCUACAUUAGAGGGUCUUCUGAAAAAUGACCUCAACAAAAUUUGCUAUCUACCUAUUUACUAACAUAAAUGAGGAAACCAAAAAGGUCAACGGUGAGGCAGGAAGGUUUCAGUUCAGUGGAGAAAAGAAAAUCUUGAUGAAAUGUCAUUAACUUCCAUAUUUGGAACACUAGGAUACAGCAGUGAACAACAACAACAACAGCAAAACAAAAUCCAAGCCCUCAAGA